rnacentral:rRNA from 1 species
CAGAGUUUGACCUGGCUCAGGAUGAACGCUAGCUACAGGCUUAACACAUGCAAGUCGAGGGGAAACGACAUCGAAAGCUUGCUUUUGAUGGGCGUCGACCGGCGCACGGGUGAGUAACGCGUAUCCAACCUGCCCACCACUUGGGGAUAACCUUGCGAAAGUAAGACUAAUACCCAAUGACGUCUCUAGAAGACAUCUGAAAGAGAUUAAAAGNUUUAUCGGUGAUGGAUGGGGAUGCGUCUGAUUAGCUUGUUGGCGGGUAACGGCCACCAAGGCGACGAUCAGUAGGGGUUCUGAGAGGAAGGUCCCCCACAUUGGAACUGAGACACGGUCCAAACUCCUACGGGAGGCA